ACGAAAGCCCUUUUCGGGCCACCCAAUUUGCCGAAGACGAGACCGACCCACCCAGGCAGGACCUAGUAGACAGGAGGACUCAUCUCACCGCACAGCCAGGCGCACCCAAAUCCCCAAACCCUAGCGGACGCACGCACGCACCCGGCACCAUGGCGGCGGCGGCGGCGCAGCAGAAGAUCCGGUGGGGGGAGCUAGAGGAGGACGACGGAGGUGACCUCGACUUCCUCCUCCCGCCGUGGGUCAUGGUUGGGCCCGAUGAGAACGGGCUCAAGAAGGUCAUCGAGUAUCGCUUCGACGACGACGGCAACAAGGUCAGGGUCACCACCACCACCCGCGUCCGCAAGCUCGCGCAGCCGUGCCUCUCCCGCAGCGCCAUCGAGCGCCGCCAGUGGCCCAAGUUCGGCGAUGCCCUCAAGGAGGACGCGGGUUCCAGGCUCACCAUGGUCUCCACCGAGGAGGUCCUCCUCGAGCGACCCCGCGCACCAGGUCUCGAUCUGCUUUGCUACCUGCUUCCAUUUCGAACAUCCUCGUCGUCUGUUCGUUCGAUUGGUAGCUGCUAGGCACGAUCUGUCUGCAUCGAAUGUUUCGAUUCUUAGUUAAUUGCAGGCAGAUGCGGUCUUUGUGAAAUUUGGGGAUGUUUGGAUCGCUUUGUUAAUAAUAUGCCCACCUAGUUCUAGUCUAGGUACAUGACGGCUGUGUAGGUAGGAGCAAUAAAUUGGAACACUAUUCUAUUCAUCUCACUCCAGCUGCCACUCGAUGAUGCAAGAAUCGUUUCAUAGAACACUGGUUAAAAUUAGCAUUUCAUUCUCACCUAUCAUCGUCGUCAUAUUGGCCAUACUUGCUUCUCUUGGUAUUUUAAGAGAACUAGAACUAGAAGCAAACUUAGUCUAUAUUAGCUUUUUUACAGUGUUAGGAGAAAACAAACUUAGUCUAUUUAUCAUAUUGUUAGGAGAAAACAAACUUAGUCUAUUGCUAGUUCUGGUUAUGUGCAUUAUAUUGCUAUUUUGUUACAGUGUGGUGUGUGUUCCUGGUGAACUCGUUUCUGGUUAUGUGCAGAGCACCCUUAAUUUUUGGCAAAGUUUAGGGGCCAUUGGUGCAUUUUACUCUUUUUUUAACUUACAGUCUAAAUAACCAAUGUUUUAAUUAGAUUAUACUAGAGUAGUUUUGUUGUUGCUAUAAUUUUUCUGUCUCUAUACUACUAUAUAUGAAGAACAAAACGGUAACAUCCAAAACCUCUUUGUAGUUUGAAGCAGUCAGUUCAAUUCUGGUGAUCAGCUUGGUGCCUAUGUUGCGAUGAACAAGCUGCUGUGAUAAACAAGCGUGUGCAAGAACUUGAGAGCAAAUUGCAAGGUGAGAAGAUAGGAUCAGUGGAGCUACGAUCAUAGGUGGCUGAUCUGUAGAAGGAAGUAGAGGACCAAAAAGUUGAUGUUCUGAAGACAUUUGAGAUUCUUGAUGUAGCCUCAUUCUGUAGACAUUUGAGAUUCUGGAUGUGUAGCCUAUGUUCUACAAUCAUUUGUGCUUUUGGUGUUGUAUUGCAGUUUGAAACCUGUAUAAAAUGUCUGUGAUAUUUUAAUUAAUUGUGGAGAUUGCUUAUUUGAUCCUA